UGAAUUUUAACAGGAAGACAGGCCACCAGCAAAAAAUCAGCGACCACAAUGUUGAAGAGGAACACGCUGUUAUUCUUCCAGAAUUUAUACCUGAAGAGGAAACAGUUCACAGAACAUUCAGUCAAGAGAAACAGAACGUUGAUCUGCUCAGAUCGUUUGGUUCCUGGCGUCUGCAGAUGAUUGAUUGAAACUAUUCUGGUUUCUCAGCAAUAUUAUCAUUGAUAAAGUUUCACAUGUCAGGAAAUGGCUGCUAUUUUUUAUAUUUACAGAGAACACUUUAAUUCAGGAAAUGUGUGAUUACAUCAAAAAAAAGUUAGACUGUGKUUGGCCUGUCGUGGAUUGAUAGAACAGUUAUUGCAACAUAUUAAUCUGGUGGCAUCUUUGUUGACAUGCAGCCCAAUUUCUAUAAACUGCACUUUGACAUUUAAGCAUCUGACAUAAAACAGAUAGCAUAAAAGUUUUUUGUGUGUGUUUGCACAUGCAACCUAAUUUAACAGUGAAUUACAUGUACUUAAGUUGUUUGAUAUUUUAUGCAGAUGUUAUGUUUUAAAUGCWUCUCAGCAGCCUUUGCUACCAAACUUGAACCUCAUAAUCUAACUAYAUCUAUACCUUAAUGUCAUGAAAAUUUCUGCCAUAAAAUUUUMMUCUYCGCAGCUGAAAAUCGGUGAUACCUGAAGAUGAAGAYGUAGAGCACCGAGAGGUUGAGAGGAAGUCCCAGAAUGAACUCCACAGUCAUCACGUAGGAGAGGACUUGAUCCUGGCAGUGAUUGAGAAACCCAGACAAUCCUUCGCCAUCCAUGCCAAAAGAUCCCAGGGGAACAGAGACGCCAAACAAACAAAAGAAAUCGGACGCAGCGCAGAGAGGAGGAGAAAACACUCCGUCUGAGUGCGUGUGUUUACACUUCAGGCAAGGCUGCAACUGAUCCCUCAGAGAGGAAGGACGUAUAUUUCAUCUGGAGGUGUGGUUAAAGAGAGUGGCUCAACUAACUGUGAAACGUCAAAACUCCUUUACAAAAAGACUGAAUUAGCCCUUGUUAUGAAGAAUCUGACUGGUUAGUAUUUAAUUUGUAUUUCAACUGAAAUUCCUGUUUGUUUGUUUGUUUGUUCCAACCGAUUGUCUCAAGAAGCAACUCUCAGCAUUUUUCUCUUUCUUCACAAGAUAUCUUUGCUUUAGAGUAUCUCGAGUUUUCCUCCUCCCAACUGCCAGUGGCAUGCGUCUUUAAAAGUUAAGGCAUUUCAAAGAAAAUCCAUAAGUUUUACACGAAGCACACUUUCAGGUUGGUUCGUUAGCAUCAACACUCGAGACAGUUGCUUUGUUUUGCAGAAGAAGAAAAAAAAAUGAGGUAAACAAAUGAGUCUGACUGUGUUUCUCUCUACAAAGCAACUGUUAUGCUUAAUACCCGACAGAUUGUGAAAUUUAGAGUUGUACGUAGGCAGAUGCGAGGUUAGCCUGUUUCCCGUAUUUGUGCAAAGCAACAUGUUGCUUCCUCCUGCAUCGCACACAAACUUAAGAUAAUCUUGUCUUUUCUUUUAUUAAAAAAAAAAAAAAA